GCAAGAAUUGUGCUUCUCUGGUCCUCGUAUGCAACAAAAGCAAAGCCUUUCGAUUUUCCGGUGCCUUUAUCUCUAACCAGGUUGACAUCAACAAUCUCACCGUACCUACAUGUUAAAAGUUACUGAGCAAAAACAGCAAGAAGAUCUCCUUCAGUUAGGUCAAAAGGAAUGCCUCCAACAUAAACAUAUGCUGAAUCUUUGUAUUUAGCAUGCCAUGAAGCCUCCUCAGAGAUACCUAACGAUGCUUCCUUUGAGUUUAUGUUCUGUAUACGCUUCACUAACGUCAGUGGAUUCAUUCUUCUUCUUCUUCUUCUU
rnacentral:lncRNA from 1 species